ensembl:lncRNA
CCCCACACUCACCUGAAGUCAUUCUGGCCUUCUCUGAGCUCUUUUCUCCUUCCUCCUCUCUCUUCUGUAGGCUGUGUGUGUGUUUCCUAAUGGGUACCAUGCCCUGCCCACCCUUCUCCUGGGGGUGCCGGUCUGCCAGUGCCAGGACUGGGGGUGAACAUCGCCAACCCUCACCCUCUCUGGCACCAUCUCUAGCCCCCUCCCAGGUCUCCUGCCCUGGAUACAGGCUCUCUCUCUGGCCCCCACACCUCUGGAGGACUGGGACUCUGUUGUUCCCAUAGUCCUGCCUUCCACCUAGACCAGGGAGGAAGAUAAAGAGAGGAGAGAAGGGAAGCGGAGGAGAGAGAAGCCAUGGAGAGAGGUGAGAGAUGGUGGGUGAUGAGAGAGUGAGGGAAAGAGAGGUGAGAGAUGGUGGGUGAUGAGAGAGUGAGGGAAAGAGAGGUGAGAGAUGGUGGGUGAUGAGAGAGUGGGGGAAAGAGAGGUGAGAGAUGGUGGGUGAUGAGAGAGUGAGGGAAAGAGAGGUGAGAGAUGGUGGGUGAUGAGAGAGUGAGGGAAAGAGAGGUGAGAGA